UACAGAGGGUGCAAGCGUUGUUCGGAAUUAUUGGGCGUAAAGGGCGCGUAGGCGAUUUGAAAAGUCUUGUGUGAAAGCCCCGAGCUUAACUCGGGAAGUGCACAAGAAACUGUUGAAUUUGAGUUCCGGAGAGGAAGGCAGAAUUCCCGGUGUAGCGGUGAAAUGCGUAGAUAUCGGGAGGAAUACCAGUGGCGAAGGCGGCCUUCUGGACGGAUACUGACGCUGAGGCGCGAAAGCCAGGGGAGCAAACGGG
rnacentral:rRNA from 1 species